UGUUAUUAAUAACACCUGUGCUUUUCCUACUAUGACAAGUAAAAUGUCUGCUGGGAAAAAAGGUCUAUAUUGUGGUAAAAAUGCCAAACUUUCAUAGUCAGCAACGACACUACUUUUCCAUUUGGAUUCAGUGAUGUCAGACCAUGUGAGAGAUAUUAUGUUCACCAGUCUCUGCUGAUAUUUGAUCUGAUAGGCUAUUUUGUUUACCUGCUGCACGUGUCACGCCCUUAAUUGGCACAAGCCACACCUGCCUGUUGGUGUUGAGGACCAAGUCGAACUGCUCCCAAAUUUUGUGCUGCAACAACUUGUGGAGAAAAACUGGAUCUGGCCUUGGAGAGGACUCCUUCAGACUUGUAAUGGACGACUUUUAAAGUUUCUUUGGAGUUUUAAUAGACUGGUGAGACGGAUGGCCUAAAUGGAGAACUUCUACAACACAUUGACUCCAUGAAGGACGGACAGUUGGAUGAAGUUUUUCAAGCAGACCUCAAUAAAUGCAUGUUGUUUCCAUUGGACCUUCCUUGUGCGCCUUGGACAUCUGACGGACCCAGUAGAGUCUUUAUUUCCAUAAGAAUCAGCC